UAAUACGGAGGGGGCUAGCGUUGUUCGGAAUCACUGGGCGUAAAGGGCGCGUAGGCGGCUUUUCAAGUUGGGCGUGAAAGGCCUGGGCUCAACCCGGGAACUGCGCUCGAUACUGGAAGGCUGGAGUCCGGGAGAGGAUGGCGGAAUUCCCAGUGUAGAGGUGAAAUUCGUAGAUAUUGGGAAGAACACCGGUGGCGAAGGCGGCCAUCUGGACCGGCACUGACGCUGAGGCGCGAAAGCGUGGGGAGCAAACAGGAUUAGAUACCCUGGUAGUCCACGCCGUAAACGAUGCGUGCCAGACGUCGGGGGGCUUGCCCUUCGGUGUCGCCGCUAACGCUUUAAGCACGCCGCCUGGGGAGUACGGUCGCAAGAUUA
rnacentral:rRNA from 1 species